AAAAAAAAAAAAAAAAACCGCAGUCCUGAGUUUCACCGACUUUUCUAUUCCUUAAAAAUAAAGAAACCCUAAACAGUGCCUUUUAAAACCAAAGCUUCAAAGAAACUGCAAAAUAAGAUGGAGCCGUUCAAACAUUUUCCUUGAGAGAAGGGGCAGGAGGGACACCCCUGGCAAAGCCGCCAGGGAGAGGGGCUGAGGGCACCGAAAGCAGGCACGUCCCAAAGUCCCCCCGCGGGCUGCAUCUGGGGACCUGGCAGAAAAGCCCCGCAGCUCUCAAAGAAAAUAUUUCGGACCCUAAAACCUUUCUUUUCUCACCCCCAGACCCCUUCUUCCCUCCCUCCCCCUGCAAGACGUUGCUCGCCCAGGUCCCAGCUUAUGUUACGGCCACUUUCUGAAUACGCUUUGGCGCUUAUGGGAUGAAAUAUUGUUAUUUUCCCCCUCCCGAUUUUUCUUUUUCAUUUUUCUUUCUCUUUUUUUUUUUUUUUUUUUUCCCGAGGAAAGAGACACAAACAGAUUUGGAUGCCACAGAGCCUGGAAAUAAAGUUAAAAACAAAAAAAAAAAAAAAAGAGGAAAUAUUUCCUACCUUAAAACACAACAGGAGGAGGUUGGGGGGAAGGGGAAGAGCGGGGCAGAGGGAAGGGGAGCAGAUUGGCGAGGAGAGCUGGGAAGGGGCCGUUUGGUUUGCGCCUCUCCCCCCCCCUCCUCCCCUUCCCUUCUCCUGGCCGGAGCCCGCUUUAAAAAUGACAGCUGCUAAGGUUUGUGAUUUUACUGGAAAAGUUCUGCGCGGGCUGCAGGAGCGGCUCGUGUGCCAGGCCGACCUGGGGCUGCGCCGGGGCCAAGGCGGGGCUGAGCAUGGCCAGGACCGGCGCCGGGGGGCCCGCCUGGCCGGCGGGGUAGGGCGCGGCGGGCGCGGCGCUGGGGUUGGUGCUGGGCGGCGGGGGCACGGCCCCCCCGAUGAUGUUGUCUAUGGAAAAAGAGGGCCGGGAGGGGUUGCCGCCGCCGCCGCCGCCGCCACCCGUGCCACCGCCACCGGUGGGCGAGGGGUCCGGCUUGAGGGUCUGCAGCAGGGCGGCGGGCAGGGCGCUGGGGCUGAGCUGGGGGUGGUAGAAGGAUUUCCUGCAGUUCAGCUCGCCGCCCAGGAACGAGGGCAGCCCCGAGGCGGCGGAGAAGACGGAGGCGGCGGGAGGCGGCGGAGCCGGUGGUAUAAACAUCAGAAAAAUAAUGGGAAAUGAAAAACCCAAACUGUCUGGGUCUGGAGCUACCUGAGAUGACAUAAAGGAGAAGAGGUCUCAUCUGCACAGCAGGAGAUGAAGGCUCACCCUGGUCCGAGACCCUGCUCCCGUGUAACGCUGGGCACCCCGGGAAAAGCCCUGGCCCUGUCUCGGGGCUGGCCGAGGCUCCAGGCAGUGAGCAGUUACUUGGAAGCUGUUGGGAGCGUUCAGACAGCUCCCAGCCUCGCAGGGGUAGGAGCCGGGUGGUGGAGUAUGUGUGACAGACGGACAGAGCAGCAGGACAGAGGUGGGCAGGAACCAGAUCGAGCCCUGCUGCUGAACAAGGAAAGCCAACACAGGCAGACAUAAAUUCCCACCUAUGCUUCCUCACUCCAUGUGCUGUUUUUGCCCUAGAUAUUCUAUAAAAAGCUGGAAGGCUGUAAUAAAAACGGCUACCACAAGCGAGACCUGUCUCUUUCUUUAAAACAAGGCAAUGCAGAAGGAGUAAGUCAAGUUUGCUAUGUGCAAGCUUUGCCAGCAUCUGCUGCCUGCUCUGUCCUUGGCACCGUAACGGGACCCUGGGGAAGGGAUGAGCGGACCCCACCCGACAGCAGCCAGCAGAGCAGCAAGCAGGUGAGCAACCCAACGCAUCCUCCAGCCUCUGAGCUAUGCCCCGAUGAUACGUGGCCUCCCAACGGGGCUCAAACCUGCCCCGAAAUACCCCCAACAGCUACCACCAACCACACGCACGUGGAUGUCCUGUGCUGGAAGCCACAAGCACCGGCUGUGCACUUCUCCCAGACACAGAAGGAGACAACUACAGCGAACGAGCACUUCUCCUGGACUAACUCAGCCACCAGGGUAUUUGUAGGUAACGGUGCAGCAACACCCAGGCAAAUCAUUUCCUCACUAACAGGAUGGGUAUGGUACAGGUAAAGAUUUUACCAAACUGGGGAAAAACUUCCAAAGAACAGAACUUGUAAACCCUUCUUCACCCUCGUGGUGAAGUUUUUUUCCACUCCAACUAUUUAAGAUUUUCUGCUCAGAAUUAUAUUUCAUAUAAAAAUUGAAGUUUUCUUUCAUUCCUACGGAAAUAAAGGGGAAGAAAAAUAAGUGCUUGUCUCCUGUUUUCUGUUUACAAAAAAAUACUACUCUUAAGAGAAGUAUCUGUUUAAACUUGAGGGAAAAUGUAAAAGAUUCUAAGAGACUUUGAAAACCAUGAUUGGGACAAAGCUUGGUUUGGAGUUUUAGAGCUUUGGCUUCUAAAAAUUUGGUGCAUUCAUGGUUUGUUCGUUCAAAGACAAAUACCAACAUUUGUGAUAAUCAAUAUUUAAUUUUCCUUUUUCCUGGAAAAAGGAAAAUGCCCCAGCUCCAUAUCUCAUGGCCAAAACCCAAUCCAAAGAAGGGGGCAGGCAGGAGGGCCAGGCUGAGCUGUGCCUCGCCCUGCUGGCUCUGCUGCCCUUCCCAUUGCCCUUAGUCAAAAGAAGCAGUGGAACAAACCGUGACACAAAUUCCUGAGGACAACCCCUGCGAGAGCAGAUCUUUACACGGAGCCUUGGUCUCCGACUUUCCAACCACCUCCUUAACAGCCAUCCCUUCCCAGCAGAGCCCAGGUGCGCGCCAUCCAGGUUUCUCCGGGGGAUGCGAGGUAGGCAAUUAAAGCUCAGCGCCCUGCAGGGCUGUUUCAUGAGGCCAUGUAAACAAGCAGCAGGUCCGUGGGAGAACCUGGCCCACCAGGUCUGCUGAAAGCCUCUGCAAACAAGCCUCUGCUGCUGCCCCAGCACUUGCUGGCUGUCAUGCAAGAGGCAAGUUUGCUGUACAAUCUGCAUCCCAUCCCAAACCCACCGAGGCUUGCAUUUUUCAGUCAAAUCAAGGGACUGACACCCAAACACUGCACAUCAGAGCUCCCAGGCAAGGAUUUCACUGCAAAAGUUUCCUUUUCCCUCAUCCUUCCAUUACCCUCCUGUAACUGCUGGACUGAUUAGCUGCAAGCCCAGGCAGACAGGUAAAAUCCCACCUCGCUAGCUCACUGCCAAUUCUUCUUCCUCUGUUUAAUGCUCCUGCCAGGAGCGAUUCCAUUCACUCCAAACACAAUAGCCUUUUCCCUCCCCUUAGGCCAGGAGCACACCUCUGCCGUGGAAAAUUUCCCUGUCUUAUACCUCCGAUGCGAUCUGCCUGCAGCCAGCCUGGCAGGUUGGCUUCUUUCACACUGCUUAAAAUGCUUGUGAAACAAAAGCCCUUUAAUCCCUCCUGGCUGGGCCAGAAACCUCUGUCCGUCCCCUCCUGGUAGUGCAGGAGGAGGGAUCUCAGCCGGAGGUGCAGGGUGCCCAGGAGCUGGUGGCUGGAAGCUGGGUAGGACAUUGGGGAUGGAGCUGGGAGCAUGUCCCAGCCAGGGUGCAGAGCUGAGGCCUCAUGUCGAUGAUGAUCUGGGGGGAAGAAGAGCAGAGAUCCUCCAACCAGCCCCAUAUGCUUGCCUGGAGAAGAGCCUUCAAGGCCCACAGAGCUAUUGGGGAGCCAAAGGCUGGCAGCCAAGCACUCUGCUGGGCAUCCUAAAGCCUGGCAAGAAAAGAAGUCCAGGAGCAAGGCACCUGCCCUUGUGUUCCCCAACGCCUCUUCCCAGCUCCCCUGCCCCAAAUCCAUCUCACCACACAUCUGUGCUGGUGCAGAAAAAGGCUGGCUGGAGGGGAGACAACACGACUCAGGUUGUAGAGACCUCAGAUCUCUGACUCCACAGGUGUCCAGUGACUAAAAUUUCAUGCAGUGACUUCAAAGUGCAUAUGGUGAAAGAAGAGGAUCUCCAGCCACAACAGGCCCAUGUUCCUCACAUAGUUUCCUCAGGAUAAGGGAAGAGAGAUGAUUCAGACUCAGAUCAGACUGGACAGGCAUGAAUCAGAGUGUUAUCACACAUUGUUCCUUGCCAAAGCUAGACCUGCCCUGUGCCACCUGGGGCUGGCAGAAGCAACCCAGAAACCUUUUUAUUUGGGUGGCUCACAAGGAUUCAAUCAGCUCCUUCCCACCUACCACUUCCAAAGCACCUGUGGGCAGCAGGGUCCUCCAGCUGAGAUGGGAAUCUGCAUCACACCAGUGUUGGAUGCAGGUGGGCAGCUGGCACCAGCACCCAGAUUUGGGCUGCUUCUGUCAGCACAGAGUGCCCCUAGCUCUGGGGUAGCUGCUGAGGAGGCCCACACCACGCUGCUUUUUCUCCUGCCCCAGCCCUGUCCCACUGGGUGAUGGGGCCGUGGUGGAUACAGCCGCAUCCCGGCUCACCAAGCUGUGGGCUUUGCUGAAUUGCUUCUGCUUGGGUGAGAAACAGGCGAUGCCAGGCAGCCUCGGCCUCUGUGCUGGAGCUCCAAGCUCACCCCUCUUUCUGGUGGCUUUUUGCCUUCACACAUGCUUUUCCCCAACCGGCUUUUCCUGCUCCCAGCCCUCAUCCCAUGCGCUCUGACUCAGGUCACUGCUUUGCCCAGCUGGCAUCAGGAAAUCCCCUUGGCCCACGCAGGGUUGGCACCCAGACCAGUUCCGAGGCCUCCUUCCCAGGGCUGCCAAUCGUGUUUUCAUCACAGGUUUCUCCAAGGGGGAAGGAUUUGUUCACACUUCAUUGUUCUUCCCUUACGCGUGAGCACUGCGAUCCUCCGCGCGCAGCCCAGAGGGCAAAGGCAGAGCUCGCACUGCUGACGGUGCUGAAAGCAGACAGAUGGCAAAAGCUCCCCGCUCCUUUUCAAGCCAGCCUCAAGAAUUUGGCUGCCUGAGCAACCAGCCCAAGGAGUUUGGGGUCCAGGUUUGCCAGGAACACAGCCCAGUGCUGCCCAAACCCCUUGGUGGCAGCAAGGGCAGGCAGUGGGCACAGCAGACGCUGGAGCCAUCACCAAGGGCUCUCAUGGGCCACCAGCCGAGAGCUGACAUUGGGCUAAUUGCAUCAAAAUUCAUUAGGUUACUUACUGCCUGCGUUCCCAAGUGGCUGGAGAAGGACGCCAGCAAGCAGCGACGCGUGCCGUGGCUGUGGGCACCACCUCCCCAUGGAUGGUGCCAGGACUUCAGGGAGGCUCUGCCUCCUUCCCCGCUGUUUUUCCCCUCCAUGCUCUCCAGUCACCAGCUUGGCAGCCCCAUGCUCAGCAACCGCAGCGACACCCGGGAUAGGACCCGGCCAGGACAAAAAGUCACCAUUAACCUCGUAUAUCUGGGGAGCUCCCCCUCAAACCACCUGGGGAACAGGAUGGGAAAGAGCCACAGGAUUUAGGAAACCAGUGGAGGAUGAUUUUUCAUGUGGAACAUCUUUGCUCAGCUACACAGAAGAAACACAUCACAACCAGGAUGGGUUCACGGCUGCUGGCCAUCGCUCAGCAGCAUCACUUGGAGAAGAAGGAUUAGAAACACAAGAGGAAAGCUUGGUUUUAUGCCCAGGGCUCCAGCACCGUGCCUGCUCCCUCUUACCUGCUGCAGCAUCAUAUUGGAAAGGGAGAUAAUGUCCACCACCUGCCUCACAGGUGCAUUAACUCAUUAACCCAUACAGACAAAGGGAAGCGCUCAGAGCAUGGAGAGCAUCACUGCCUGAUGCCAGCACCACUGAACGACACCCAAAUUCUUGCAAACAACAGGCAAAAAAC
rnacentral:lncRNA from 1 species